ACUGCCCUUUGAUGUAACGGGGCUAAGCCAGUUACCGAAGCUGCGGAUUUGCAAUUUAUUGCAAGUGGUAGGAGAGCGUUCUGUAAGCCUGUGAAGGUGGCUUGUAAAGGCUGCUGGAGGUAUCAGAAGUGCGAAUGCUGACAUGAGUAGCGUUAAAGCGGGUGAAAAGCCCGCUCGCCGUAAGCGCAAGGUUUUCUACGCAACGUUCAUCGGCGUAGAGUGAGUCGGCCCCUAAGGUGAGGCAGAGAUGCGUAACUGAUGGGAAACAGGUCAAUAUUCCUGUACCGAUGUGUAGUGCGAUGUGGGGACGGAUCUUAAUAGGUCAUCCGGGUGUUGGAUAUCCCGGUUUAGGCAGAUGUAGGCGACAGGUAGGCAAAUCCGCCUGUCAUAUACCGAGGCUGCCGAUCGAGCGAGCUUGCUCGCGAAGUGAUUGAACGAGGUUCCAGGAAAAGCCACUAAGCUUCAGCUACACACGACCGUACCGCAAACCGACACUGGUGCGCGAGAUGAGUAUUCUAAGGCGCUUGAGAGAACUCGGGAGAAGGAACUCGGCAAAUUGACACCGUAACUUCGGAAGAAGGUGUGCCCUAUUAGUGUGAAGAGAACAACGGAGCAUGAAUGGGUUGCAAAAAAUCGGUGGCUGCGACUGUUUAUUAAAAACACAGCACUCUGCAAACACGAAAGUGGACGUAUAGGGUGUGACGCCUGCCCGGUGCUGGAAGAUUAAAUGAUGGGGUGCAAGCUCUUGAUUGAAGUCCCAGUAAACGGCGGCCGUAACUAUAACGGUCCUAAGGUAGCGAAAUUCCUUGUCGGGUAAGUUCCGACCUGCACGAAUGGCGUAACGAUGGCCACACUGUCUCCUCCCGAGACUCAGCGAAGUUGAAAUGUUUGUGAUGAUGCAAUCUCCCCGCGGAAAGACGGAAAGACCCCAUGAACCUUUACUGUAGCUUUGUAUUGGACUUUGAACAGAUCUGUGUAGGAUAGGUGGGAGGCUUUGAAGCAGGGUCGCUAGAUCUUGUGGAGCCAACGUUGAAAUACCACCCUGGUGUGUUUGAGGUUCUAACCUAGGUCCAUUAUCUGGAUCGGGGACAGUGCAUGGUAGGCAGUUUGACUGGGGCGGUCUCCUCCCAAAGCGUAACGGAGGAGUUCGAAGGUACGCUAGUUACGGUCGGACAUCGUGACGAUAGUGCAAUGGCAUAAGCGUGCUUAACUGCGAGACUGACAAGUCGAGCAGAUGCGAAAGCAGGACAUAGUGAUCCGGUGGUUCUAC
rnacentral:rRNA from 1 species